GACGAACGCUGGCGGCGUGCUUAACACAUGCAAGUCGAACGGAAAGGCCCUGCUUUUGUGGGGUGCUCGAGUGGCGAACGGGUGAGUAACACGUGAGUAACCUGCCCUUGACUUUGGGAUAACUUCAGGAAACUGGGGCUAAUACCGGAUAGGAGCUCCUGCUGCAUGGUGGGGGUUGGAAAGUUUCGGCGGUUGGGGAUGGACUCGCGGCUUAUCAGCUUGUUGGUGGGGUGGUGGCUUACCAAGGCUUUGACGGGUAGCCGGCCUGAGAGGGUGACCGGUCACAUUGGGACUGAGAUACGGCCCAGACUCCUACGGGAGGCAGCAGUGGGGAAUAUUGCACAAUGGGCGGAAGCCUGAUGCAGCAACGCCGCGUGCGGGAUGACGGCCUUCGGGUUGUAAACCGCUUUCGCCUGUGACGAAGCGUGAGUGACGGUAAUGGGUAAAGAAGCACCGGCUAACUACGUG
rnacentral:rRNA from 1 species